GUACAAGAGUAACAAUUUGGGACCCGCCAGGUUUUAUCAUUCCUGCUGCCGGAGGUCCAGCCAGGCGUGACGGCGAAUAUUGAGGGGCUGGCUCUUGUCACGACCGAAAUCUGGACGGAUCCGUCUCUGGUUUUCUCAUCUCCUUCUUCUCCACGCUCCACCAGCACCGAUUCACUGCUCUCCCAUCUUCCGACUUCAUAUAUACCGACAUAUGCUCGACCACAGAUUUUGGGGCUGCUCUCCUCGCCGCUUGUUCCCGGAGGGUCAUCCGGAACCGCCCUGGUGGCCCUUCUUCCACCUGCAACGACUGCUGCCCUGCGUUACUCUCUCCCAAAGUCUCAAUUUCGAAAGGAACCAACGAGCUUUGCCGGCCACUGUGCUUUCCCUUUUAUCUUUUUC
rnacentral:lncRNA from 1 species